rnacentral:rRNA from 1 species
AGUUUGAUCAUGGCUCAGAUUGAACGCUGGCGGCAUGCCUUACACAUGCAAGUCGAACGGCAGCGGGCCUUCGGGUGCCGGCGAGUGGCGAACGGGUGAGUAAUGCAUCGGAACGUGCCAUUGAGUGGGGAUAACGUAGCGAAAGUUGCGCUAAUACCGCAUAUUCUGUGAGCAGGAAAGCAGGGGACCGCAAGGCCUUGCGCUCUUUGAGCGGCCGACGUCAGAUUAGCUAGUUGGUGAGGUAAAGGCUUACCAAGGCGACGAUCUGUAGCGGGUCUGAGAGGAUGAUCCGCCACACUGGAACUGAGACACGGUCCAGACUCCUACGGGAGGCAGCAGUGGGGAAUUUUGGACAAUGGGGGCAACCCUGAUCCAGCCAUGCCGCGUGAGUGAAGAAGGCCUUCGGGUUGUAAAGCUCUUUCGGCCGGGAAGAAAUCGCAUGGGUGAAUACCCUGUGUGGAUGACGGUACCGGAACAAGAAGCACCGGCUAACUACGUG